GAGCGGCGGACUGGUGAGUAACACGUGGGUGAUCUACCUUUGGGUUGGGGAUAGCCACUAGAAAUAGUGGGUAAUACCGAAUACGUUCCGUUGACUACGGUCAGCGGAGGAAAGGCGCUACGGCGCCGCCCGGAGAUGAGCCUGCGCCCCAUUAGCUAGUUGGUGAGGUAAUGGCCCACCAAGGCUAUGAUGGGUAGGCGGCCUGAGAGGGUGUACGCCCACAUUGGGACUGAGAUACGGCCCAAACUCCUACGGGAGGCAGCAGCUAAGAAUAUUCCGCAAUGGACGAAAGUCUGACGGAGCGACGCCGCGUGGAUGAUGAAGGCCGGAAGGUUGUAAAGUCCUUUUGUCGGGGAAGAAUAAGCGUGGGAGGGAAUGCCCGCGUGAUGACAUGAACCGGCGAAUAAGCCCCGGCUAACUACGUGCCAGCAGCCGCGGUAACACGUAGGGGGCAAGCGUUGUUCGGAAUUACUGGGCGUAAAGGGCAUGUAGGCGGUUUUGUAAGCCUGACGUGAAAGGCUAUGGCUUAACCAUGGCACUGCGUUGGGAACUGCGAGACUUGAAUCACGGAGGGGGGAGCUGGAAUUCCAGGUGUAGGGGUGAAAAUCUGUAGAUAUCUGGAAGAAACACCAGUGGGUGUAAGGGCGAGCUCCUUGGGCCGAUGAAUUGACGCUGAAGGUGCCCAAAGUUGUGGGGGAUCAAACAGGAUUAGAU
rnacentral:rRNA from 1 species